GACGAACGCUGGCGGCGUGCUUAACACAUGCAAGUCGAACGGAAAGGCCCUGCUUUUGUGGGGUGCUCGAGUGGCGAACGGGUGAGUAACACGUGAGUAACCUGCCCUUGACUUUGGGAUAACUUCAGGAAACUGGGGCUAAUACCGGAUAGGAGCUCCUGCUGCAUGGUGGGGGUUGGAAAGUUUCGGCGGUUGGGGAUGGACUCGCGGCUUAUCAGCUUGUUGGUGGGGUAGUGGCUUACCAAGGCUUUGACGGGUAGCCGGCCUGAGAGGGUGACCGGCCACAUUGGGACUGAGAAACGGCCCAGACUCCUACGGGAGGCAGCAGUGGGGAAUAUUGCAAAAUGGGCGGAAGCCUGAUGCAGCAACGCCGCGGGCGGGAUGACGGCCUUCGGGCUGUAAACCGCUUUCGCCUGGGACGAAGCGUGAGUGACGGUAAUGGGUAAAGAAGCACCGGCUAACUACGUG
rnacentral:rRNA from 1 species